rnacentral:lncRNA from 1 species
UUACAACUAAGUAUUCAUAUAUCCCCUCAGCCUCUGUUUUAUUAAAAUAUACAAGUCAAAUGCUCUCUUAAUUUCUUCUCAUAAAACAGAUUUUCCAUAACAGAGAAAGAGUUGGAAGAAGAUACUUGUGACAAGCUGGUGGAGAGCCAGGAUCCACAACAGUGGCCCCAUUUAGAAGGGACAAGCAAGGGAAGGAGAAGAAAACAGAUUUCUAUCUCCUGAACCAUGCUAAUCUUUGUUUUUCCACUGACUGUCAAUGAAACCUGUACACUUAAAUCAUCCAAGCACUUAGGAAAGUCCCAUUCUUCAACAGAUCUUCAUCCUCUGUUAAAAGUUUGUUGUGCUAGGGAUGCUGCACGGUUCCAUCUUGCCCCCUGUACCAACAAGGGGACUCCAGGGCUCUUGUCUGUCUUGUUCCGUCUUACCUGCAAGAUUAUGGAAACUAUCAUCAAUAAAGUAUCUCUAUGAUUUUAUUACACUGUCAUGUAUCAUACAGCAUGCUAUCUCUUGCACUCCAGGUGAUCUUUUCAGUUGGGUUGAUCAAAGUAAGAAAAAGAACGAAAAAUACUAGCGAAAUGGGAUUUGAUCUAGUACAGUGC